UCUGGACCAGUGUCUCAAAUUCUAGUUGCAAACAGACCAAAGGCUCCGACCCUGCACAUAUGCAAAUUGGUACCAAGGAGAACUUAUGCAGAAAUUGGAGUAUCUUGAUCCUGCAUACGAAACACUAAGCUUCAUCUGUAUAGUAUAAUAACUAAACUGUUUUGACUAAGAUGCUGAUGUUGGCAAUUUUCAGUCGCGCUUGAGAUGGCAGCAACAAUAGCCAAAGCAAACAAACAAAAUACACUAUGGGGAAACAUAGAUGAUACAAGGUACCUUAUAUGAUUUCCUGAUUCUUUACUCAACAACAUAAAGAUGAAAGCAAACCAAAUAAGGGUUUGUAGGAUAUAAUUAUGUUUCCAUGUACUCAAACCGCCCAGCCUGUGUAGGGAGGAAUAUGAAAAAUCGAAUCCAACUGUCCAUGAAAACAUUUGUGAAUUCUAUCUAUUCACCACUAAACUAUGAAGGAAUAUAUGCAUCCAAUAGUUCUAGGAUUCAGUUUGUUACAUCCAAUAUUAAUCAUCACGUAUCAUCCCAAUAAGAGCACGUACAAACAGAAAAAUCUAAGCCCUUGUAUCAUCCAAAUAUUCUUUCCCCGCGGCAGGGGGUAACAAACUCGUACUAUAUGGGGGAGUCGCCGGCGGGCUUGGAUUAGUACCAGAGCGCGCUUUUCCUCCUCUCCUUUGUGCAUCUCCGCCUCCUCAUUCGCUGCUGCAACAUCUUUCCGUGCCCAUCGCAGUGCGUCGUCCUCCCCGGCUGGGUAUGAACCACCUUGACCGUCGUGGUGCCGCCCCUUCCAGUCGUUCACCACUUGUGCAGGACCGCCAUGACCGUUUUGCCUCACAAGCACAUAAUUCAACAAUAUAUGGGAUAUAAGAAGCAAG
rnacentral:lncRNA from 1 species